rnacentral:rRNA from 1 species
UACGUAGGGUCCGAGCGUUAAUCGGAAUUACUGGGCGUAAAGCGUGCGCAGGCGGUUUUGUAAGCCAGAUGUGAAAUCCCCGAGCUUAACUUGGGAACUGCAUUUGGGACUGCAAAGCUGGAGUACGGCAGAGGGAGGUGGAAUUCCACGUGUAGCAGUGAAAUGCGUAGAGAUGUGGAGGAACACCGAUGGCGAAGGCAGCCUCCUGGGCCGCAACUGACGCUGAGGAGCGAAAGCAUGGGGAGCGAACAGG